rnacentral:rRNA from 1 species
GUUGAACGCUGGCGGCGUGCUUUACACAUGCAAGUCGAACGAUGACGCCCAGCUUUCUGGGUGGUUUCGUGUCGAACGGGUGAGUAACACGUGAGUAACCUUCCCUUGACUCUAGGAUAAGCCCGGGGAACUGGGUCUUAUUCUGGAUAGCAACGUCUACCUCAUGGUGGGUGUUGGUCAGAAUUUCGGUAAUGGAUGGACGCGCGGCCUAUCAGCUUGUUUGUGGGGUAAUGGCUCACCAAGGCGGCGACGGGUAGCCGGCACGAGAGGGUGACCGGCCACAAGGGGACUGAGAGACGGCGCAGACUGCUACGGGAGGCAGCAGGGGGGAAUAUUGCACAAUGGGCGAAAGCCUGAUGAAGCGACGCCGCGUGAGGGAUGAAGGCCUUCGGGUUGUAAAACUCUUUGAGUAGGGAAGAAGCGAAAGUGACGGUACCGGCAGAAGAAGCACCGGCUAACUACGUG